CAAUUCUUGUGUUGAGCAACCCUUUCUGUAGGUCAUUUUUCAUAAUAGUGUAAUUUAAAAAAACACAUGAAAUAUCAUUAAAUUAAUUUAAAAUUAACAUAUUAAAGCAACAUAAAUAUGUUGGUCUUUUGGAGGCCCCUGUUUUUUUCAAGGUCACCACAUUUCCAGUUGAAAUAGACAUUGGGAUUUGGCACAAAUUUUAUGCCAGAUGCCUUUCCUAAUACAACUCCAGGUUUACCUGGCGAAACAGACACAGUCCCAGAGCUUAUCUUCCUGGGUAGGUCCCAAUUUACCUCGGUGGACUGCCCAAGUACAGCCUAUGAACAGGAACCACUAACUUUACAAAUCAAACAUCUGAAAGCAAUUCCAGAAGUUGAGCCAUUUUCCUAUAGAUUGGCAUGGGGCUGGAAAUUUGACCUUGACCUGUAACAUUUAUUGUUGACUGAUUGUAAAUAAGUGAUUAAAUAAACAGAAAGAGCUUCCCCACCUCUUCUUCCUAAUAUAGCUAUAAAGUUUGAUCUAAAUCAUAAAUUUCAGGCAAAUCUAAAAUCCAUUUAAAGACUAUGACAGAGACCAAGGCGAUGACAACAGCUUAAGCUUCUUGCGGUGUAGAAAUAAAGAGCCGUUUCUAUAGUGAUUGUCCCAAAAUCAUUUCUUGAUAAGAAAACACUGUACUUAGUGCAGCACAGUGGCUUAGUAGUAGUUUGCACGGUUUCCUCACAGCAAGAAGGUCUUGGGAUCACGUCCCGCCUGGUCCUUUCUGUGUAGAGUUUGCACGUUCUCCCUUUAAGUGCCUAUAGAAAAUUAACAUUGUACUUACACUGAAUCUGUUCAUGGACCACCAGGGCAAAGUGGUCAGUCUCCAAGAUACGGGACAACUUCCCCAAAUUGUCAGUCAGACGGAUCUG